CAAGAGAUGCUUGAAAAGAGGCGUAGAGAAUAGUGAGUGUCUGUUGUGGAAUCUUCCUGUGUAAUACUUUAGAAAACAAAGUAUCAUGGUGCUUUCUAACUCCAGAGUUCUUUGAACGUGUUUGACAAACUUUACCAACACCCUAUGGAGAGAGACCACUUCUCCAGUUUGUCAAGAUCGUUUUGAAUUCUAAUCCUGUCCUCCAAAGCACUUGCAACCCCUCCCAGGAACAUGCAACUCCAAAGGCAAGUGAGCUACCAGCUGAGUACCUUACACAUUCCAGCACUGCAAGUGUGAUAGUCCAUCAAGGUCAUGCCCUAGUUUUGAACUCCUGUAAAAACUACAGAAAUAGCUGCAUAACAUUUUUACAUACUUAGACCAUAAAAGGCUUAUUUGAA